rnacentral:lncRNA from 1 species
CUCUAAAUCCGAGUAUCUAUAAAGCUGGAACAUUAAAAAAAACACGAGGUUUCCUUGAUGAAAUAUGUUUCUUGACGAACUUUGAACCAUACAACCUGAUAUUUGCAUGAAAAAAUGCGCAGACCUAAUGGAGCCAGAUUGUCUGGUAAGCAACAGAAGUGUGUUGUUUCGUGGCUUAAAAUGACUGUAGUUUUUGGGUUGUAAGUUCAUUUGGUUUCACUUAUUGACUGAAUAUGGCUGAAAAUGAUUGUACCUCUGCAAUCUUUCCUACUAAAACUAAUUACGCGUUUCUUUUUGUCUAAUUUUUUCCUCUGUCAGUAUUAGACUUAUUAGAUAGUUUGCAUAGUUUUACGUUGACUGAUAGGAUUCUUCUGCAUGCUAUUUAGAUUGCCAACUCUGUUCAACGGUUCAGUUGCGGUAUUCCUCUGUCAACAACUUUUUCCCCCAAAUUUUGGCUGGUCUUUUGAUUCACAAAGAUCGUAUUCUAUCUCAUAUCUCAAUCAUGUGAUUAUUGCAAAAAAGGCAUUAUUGUAGAUUUGAUCGAUUUUCCAGUUUUGAUGACAGUCUUAGCAAUUUAGGUCUCUACGUUUUGGGGAAAUAUGGAAUCAAAAAGAGAACAGACAUAUUUAU